rnacentral:rRNA from 1 species
AAAGCGCGCGUAGGUGGUUUGUUAAGUUGGAUGUGAAAUCCCCGGGCUCAACCUGGGAACUGCAUCCAAAACUGGCAAGCUAGAGUAUGGUAGAGGGUGGUGGAAUUUCCUGUGUAGCGGUGAAAUGCGUAGAUAUAGGAAGGAACACCAGUGGCGAAGGCGACCACCUGGACUGAUACUGACACUGAGGUGCGAAAGCGUGGGGAGCAAACAGGAUUAGAUACCCCUGU